rnacentral:lncRNA from 1 species
CCCUGAUCUUCCCUUCGGUACUAUACUCAGGGAACAUCCUUCUGUAUCAGAAAUUCCCAUGUUUCCAUAUCCAGAUUUCUUCACCAAGGCAGAUAAAGAGUUGGCAAAAAUCAUUGACCAUCACUGGCAGGAAGAGCUAAAGAUCCGAGAAAAAGAAGAUGCAAUAUGCAAGGCCCAAGAACUUAAAGAUAAAAAGUUAGCAGAGAAAAAUCACUUUCAAGAAGUUAUGAAGAAAAGAGAAGAGAAACUACAUAAGCAAACCAAGCCCUAUGAACUUCCUUAUAGGAAGGAAGUAAUUUAAUUAGAAAAGAAAAUGUCACCUCCCAAAAUUGAGGACUACAUGGCAGAAAUACAUAGGAUGAAAAAUACCAAGAUAGCUACAUAGUGUUAGAAACUGAAUAAAUGGAAAGGGAACAUAGAAAUAACACUGAAACAGUAGCUGCUGGAAACUGCUACCACAUUUGGAGCCAUGGAAUCAGAGAGA